UCUUUCCUUGUCAUGGGGUAGUAGAGUUGCUCAAUGAAUGCUAAGUGAGAGCAGCCUUGCUAACACCAUAUCAACACUUACGCAUCACCUGGACAUUGUGUCCAGACCAUGGUGCAAUUUUUGGGAAA